UUUCUGAACUACUUCCAGGCAUGACGAUUUCAACUUCAUGCAGCAAAUUCCAGGAGGCUAUCAACAACCAUGAAGAUGUCAACUGUCAAAGCCUCCACAGUCCUGAGGUCUGAGAAACCUCAUUAGCCAAAUACUAUUUUGGAAUGAUAACAUAUUGAUGACACAUACCUGAACUGCUCUACGAAGCAUGACCUAACAGCAAAGCAGCUGUUGGGUUAUCCAGUGGUCUGAGGCAACCCUUGUUAAAGGGUUGGCCAUUCCCAAAGCAGCCGCCACCCACAGGUUGAGAAUCACUGUUCUAGCUAAUACAGCUGGUAUCCGCUCCGGAGAGAUGGCUCAGCACUUCAAAGGACUUGUUUUGAAUUCCUGACAACCCUGGAGUCCCCGUAGAAGAAACAAAAGAACCAAGAACCAGAACCACCUCCACCAAGUUGUCUUCUGAGUGGCAUGCCCUCUGUGGCAGGCACACCCAGACUCACAUUCACAUAUACUCAUGCACACAUAUCCACACAGACUCACAUUCACAUAUACUCAUGCACACAUAUCCACACAUGCU